rnacentral:rRNA from 1 species
UCGCAUGGGGUGUCGGGAAAGAUUUCAUCGGUAUGGGAUGGGGUCGCGUCCUAUCAGGUAGUCGGCGGGGUAACGGCCCACCGAGCCUACGACGGGUAGCCGGCCUGAGAGGGCGACCGGCCACAUUGGGACUGAGAUACGGCCCAGACUCCUACGGGAGGCAGCAGUGGGGAAUAUUGCACAAUGGGCGCAAGCCUGAUGCAGCGACGCCGCGUGCGGGAUGACGGCCUUCGGGUUGUAAACCGCUUUUGAUCGGGAGCAAGCCUUCGGGUGAGUGUACCUUUCGAAUAAGCACCGGCUAACUACGUGCCAGCAGCCGCGGUAAUACGUAGGGUGCAAGCGUUAUCCGGAAUUAUUGGGCGUAAAGGGCUCGUAGGCGGUUCGUCGCGUCCGGUGUGAAAGUCCAUCGCUUAACGGUGGAUCUGCGCCGGGUACGGGCGGGCUGGAGUGCGGUAGGGGAGACUGGAAUUCCCGGUGUAACGGUGGAAUGUGUAGAUAUC